AACGAACGCUGGCGGCAUGCCUAACACAUGCAAGUCGAACGAGACCUUCGGGUCUAGUGGCGCACGGGUGCGUAACGCGUGGGAACCUGCCCUUAGGUUCGGAAUAACUCCCCGAAAGGGGUGCUAAUACCGGUUAAUGUCUUCGGACCAAAGAUUUAUCGCCUUUGGAUGGGCCCGCGUUGGAUUAGCUAGUUGGUAGGGUAAAAGCCUACCAAGGCGACGAUCCAUAGCUGGUCUGAGAGGAUGAUCAUCCACACUGGGACUGAGACACGGCCCAGACUCCUACGGGAGGCAGCAGUGUGGAAUAUUGGACGAUGGGCGAAAGCGUGAUCCAGCAAUGCCGGGUGAGUGAUGAAGGCCUUAGGGUUGUAAAGCUCUUUUACACGGGAUGAUAAUGACAGUACCGGGAGAAUAAGCACCGGCUAACUCCGUG
rnacentral:rRNA from 1 species